rnacentral:rRNA from 1 species
UGGCUCAGAACGAACGCUGGCGGCGCGUCUUAAGCAUGCAAGUCGAACGGCAAGAGGUAGCAAUACCUCCUAGAGUGGCGGACUGGUGAGUAACACGUGGGUGACAUACCCUUCAGAUGGGGAUAGCUAUUAGAAAUAGUAGAUAAUACCGAAUACGAGCACAGGGGUUAGAGAUCUGUGAGGAAAGGAGCUAAGGCUCCGCUGAAGGAAUGGCCUGCGGCCCAUUAGCUAGUGGUGAGGUAAGAGCCCACCAAGGCGAUGAUGGGUAUCCGGCCUUAGAGGGUGAACGGACACAUUGGGACUGAGAUACGGCCCAGACUCCUACGGGAGGCAGCAGCUAAGAAUAUUCCGCAAUGGACGAAAGUCUGACGGAGCGACGCCGCGUGGAUGAAGAAGGCCGGAAGGUUGUAAAAUCCUUUUGAAACUGAAGAAUAAGCGUUGUAGGGAAUGACAGCGUGGUGACAGUAGGUUUUGAAUAAGCAACGGCUAAUUACGUGCCAGCCGCAGC